rnacentral:tRNA from 1 species
GCCCGGAUGGCGGAAUGGUAGACGCGUUGGACUCAAAAUCCAAUGUAUGCAAGUACAUAAGGGUUCAAGUCCCUUUCUGGGCACCA